rnacentral:sRNA from 22 species
GAAAUACCUCACGCCCGUGGGGUUGAGCAGAUGUAAUGGGGGACAUCUGCUCACAAAAAAAAGCGGCU